rnacentral:rRNA from 1 species
UACGUAGGGUGCGAGCGUUGUCCGGAAUUAUUGGGCGUAAAGAGCUCGUAGGCGGUCUGUCGCGUCGAAUGUGAAAACCCGGGGCUCAACUCCGGGCUUGCAUUCGAUACGGGCAGGCUAGAGUUCGGUAGGGGAGUCUGGAAUUCCUGGUGUAGCGGUGAAAUGCGCAGAUAUCAGGAGGAACACCGGUGGCGAAGGCAGGUCUCUGGGCCACUACUGACGCUGAGAAGCGAAAGCAUGGGGAGCGAACAGG